CGCAAUUGAUUGGAUAAAUUUCUGAAGCCUUCUAUGAAAAGUGCAUGUGCAAUCUGAUUACACUGUGAGACUGAGGCGU
ensembl:snoRNA